ensembl:lncRNA
CUGGAGGAGUGACACCAUACUGGGCAUUACCGGCUUGGGAUUUGAAGACACAAAUGGCACAGAUAAAACUUGUUUCACUUGGAGUUGUGCUGAGUGUUCUGAGCUACACAUGCAACAACUCGCUCUGGCUGAAGCAGAAGAAUGAUUGAUGUGAGCCAUGCUCUUUGGAGGACAGGAUCCCAAGCAGGCCUUGGAAGAUGGAAGUGCAAGAUCAAGGCUCUGGCUGAUUUGAUUUUCAGUCAGAGGGCUGUGUUCCUGGCUCACCAAUGAUCACCUCAUGCUGUGACCUCACAUGGUCUUUCCUCAUGUUGGAGGAUCAAGGUUGGUAGAAGAUGGUGACCUCAUCUGCCUGUAUCCUGGCUACAAGAGAGCCAAGAAAACCAGUUUAUGGCACAGGAGUACUAAGUUUUUGGCUGCAGUUCCAUGGAAAUGGAAAAUUAUGUACCAGCCACUGUGAUGAGGAGGAAACAAGGGAGGAAAUUCUUCUGCUAGAGCAACACCUGUGGAAGUCCCAUCAUUUUUUAUAAAAGCAAUUUUCCAGUCUGUUUCCACACCAACUCAUCUGAAGACUGUGAGUUCUCCAGGGAAAGUACCCAGCUCAGGAUGUCUCAAAUUCUGGAGUGGGCUCUGUGGCCAUCUGGGCUUGCCUAAUGAUGGCUCUGGUGCCUAGAACCUCCAGGGAGCGGGGAAUGACUGCUGGUAAGGACUGAGCAGUGCGGCGGCAUUCUGCUGUGUUGGGAUCAGCUCUGGGUGCGAAACGGCAGCACCUUUUCAAAAGCAUCCACGGACGUGCUGGAGGGACAGACCAGCAGUUAGGAGCAGCAGCUGCUCUUCCAGAGGACCUGUAUUAGCAGCUUACCACUGUCUACAACUCCAGUCCCAGGGGAUCCAACACCUUCUCUGGCUUCCAAGGGCAUUCGACACACAUGUGGUGCACAGACAUACAUGCAGACAAAACAUCCAUGUGCAUAAAUAAAAUAAAGUAUCCGUAGGAGUUAGAUCAUGCUGGAAUUUCAAUUUGAUUUGAUUUGAUUCCUAAAGAUCUCAUUCCCAGUUUUGUCCCUUUCCUCCCUCCCUCCCUCUCUCCCCCCUCCCUCUCUGUGUUACAUAGGCUAACUUCAAACUCCCCCCAAGCCAUAUAUCAAUUACUUUAAAGAAACACGCAAACUUGAUUUAGGUACAGUCCUUUGAAAAGACAGGAGCUUGAAUGGGCUAUUCCUAGACUAUAGGGGAUUUUUACUAUAAUCUUAGGGAGCUAGAUAAGCUGUCCCAGGUAAAUAUCUACCAAUGAUAAUGUUACUUAAAAAAAAAUCCAAUAUUUAUAUAUAUAUAUGUCACAAAGCUGAAAUAAAAAUUAGAAAGUGAAUCAAAUUGAUUCUUUCCAGGUUGUUGCCCAUUAUUUAUUUAUAUGUGUUUCUUAAUAAGUGGCCUGACAAUAGACACUACACUCCCAGACCUUUU